rnacentral:rRNA from 1 species
UACGUAGGUGGCGAGCGUUGUCCGGAAUUACUGGGUGUAAAGGGAGCGCAGGCGGGGAAGCAAGUCAGCUGUGAAAUCUAUGGGCUUAACCCAUAACGUGCAGUUGAAACUGUUUUUCUUGAGUGGAGUAGAGGUAGGCGGAAUUCCGAGUGUAGCGGUGAAAUGCGUAGAGAUUCGGAGGAACACCAGCGGCGAAGGCGGCCUACUGGGCUCUAACUGACGCUGAGGCUCGAAAGUGUGGGGAGCAAACAGGAUUAGAUACCCGGGUAGUCCCUGA